rnacentral:misc_RNA from 1 species
UUUCCGUAGGUGUACCUGCGGAAGGAUCAUUAUCGUACAAAAUGUGAGGGGCAUGCGAGGGCUGUCGCUGACCCAAAAGUCAUGCACGCCCGAGUGUGUCCUCUUGCAUAAUAAUCCAUCUCACCCUUUGUGCAUCACCGCGUGGGCACCCUUCGGGAUCAUCUCGGAGGGGGGCUCGCGUUUUCACACAAACCCCCCUUUUAAAAGUGUAGAAUGACCACAUUUAUGCAAUCAAUACAACUUUCAACAACGGAUCUCUUGGCUCUC